rnacentral:rRNA from 1 species
GACGAACGCUGGCGGCGUGCUUAACACAUGCAAGUCGAACGGAAAGGCCCUGUUCGUGUGGUACGCUCGAGUGGCAAACGGGUGUAACACAUGAGUAUACUGCGCCCUUCACUUUGGUAUAAUCACAGGACACGGGGGAUUAUCCCGGAGGAGCUCCUCCUCCGCGUGGUGGGGGGUGGAGUGUUUCGGGGGUUGGGGAUGGUCGCGGGGCUUAUCCGUUUGUUGGUGGGGUUGUGUUUUACCAAGGCUUUCACGGGUAGCCGGCCUGAGAGGGUGACCGGCCAAAUUGGGACUGAGAUCCGGCCCGGACUCCUACGGGAGGCAGCGGUGGGAAAUAUUGCACAAUGGUGGGAGGCCUGAUGCAGCAACGCCGCGUGCGGGAUGACGGCCUUCGGUUUGUAAACCGCUUUGGCCUGUGACGAGGCGUGAGUGACGGUAAUGGGUAAAGAAGCACCGGCUAACUACGUG